rnacentral:rRNA from 1 species
AUUGAACGCUGGCGGCAGGCCUAACACAUGCAAGUCGAAUGGUAACAGGAAACAGCUUGCUGUUUCGCUGACGAGUGGCGGACGGGUGAGUAAUGUCUGGGAAACUGCCUGAUGGAGGGGGAUAACUACUGGAAACGGUAGCUAAUACCGCAUAACGUCGCAAGACCAAAGAGGGGGACCUUCGGGCCUCUUGCCAUCAGAUGUGCCCAGAUGGGAUUAGCUAGUAGGCGGGGUAACGGCUCACCUAGGCGACGAUCCCUAGCUGGUCUGGGAGGAUGACCAGCCACACUGGAACUGAGACACGGUCCAGACUCCUACGGGAGGCAGCAGUGGGGAAUAUUGCACAAUGGGCGCAAGCCUGAUGCAGCCAUGCCGCGUGUAUGAAGAAGGCCUUCGGGUUGGAAGGUACUUUCAGCGGGGAGGAAGGGAGUAAAGUUAAUACCUUUGCUCAUUGACGUUACCCGCAGAAGAAGCACCGGCUAACUCCG